GAGUUUGAUCCUGGCUCACAACGAACGCUGGCGGCGCGGUUUACGCAUGCAAGUCGAGCGCGAAAGUUCCUUCGGGGNNGAGUAGAGCGGCGAAAGGGUGAGUAAUGCUUGGGUAACUUACCCCUCAGACUGGGAUAGCCACUGGAAACGGUGGGUAAUACCAGAUGGUCUCGAGGGUGCUGCGGCACCAACGAGUAAAGCGGGCUUCGGCUCGCACCGAGGGAGAGGCCCGAGUCCUACCAGCUUGUUGGUGAGGUAACGGCUCACCAAGGCGAAGACGGGUAGCCGGACUGAGAGGUUGGCCGGCCACACUGGCACUGAGACACUGGCCAGACUCCUACGGGAGGCUGCAGUCGAGAAUCUUCCGCAAUGGACGAAAGUCUGACGGAGCGACGCCGCGUGGAGGAAGAAGGCCUUCGGGUUGUAAACUCCUGUCAGAGCUUAAGAACCCCCGGUGGUUAAUACCCAUCGGGCUGACAAAGGGCUCAAAGGAAGCCACAGCUAACUUCGUGCCAGCAGCUGCGGUAAUACGAAGGUGGCGAGCGUUGUUCGGAUUCACUGGGCAUAAAGGGCGUGUAGGCUGCUUAGUAAGCGGUGUGUGAAAGCCCGGGGCUCAACCCCGGAACUGCAGACCGAACUGCUGAGCUAGAGAACGAGAGGGGACUGUGGAACUCUAGGUGGAGCGGUGAAAUGCGUAGAUAUCUAGAGGAACACCGGUGGCGAAAGCGACAGUCUGGCUCGUUUCUGACGCUGAGGCGCGAAAGCGUGGGUAGCAAACAGGAUUAGAUACCCUGGUAGUC
rnacentral:rRNA from 1 species